UCUCGGGGCCGGCUGGGAUGCCGUGGGGAGAUGGCUUCCCCCGCAUGCGGGAACCCCGCGCUCCCCACUUCAUCCCAGCCCAGCCGCAGUCACCUGCGCGGGGCUGGGGAGCCAUGGGCGCGGGAGGUUCAACCAUCCCUUCCCAGUUGCCGGAGUCGGACGGAUGGCGGGGUCCAGCUGCUGCUUUUCAUGGAGAUCCCUGCGCUGUCCCCGGCCACGCAGGACAGCCCGGCACAUCGGGGGUGGGAAACAAAGGCAAAUAACACAGGCUGCGGGAAGAGGUUCCACCCCUCUCUGCACCAAUGUACCAAUGCCCGAGCAUGGGGCAGCCAGUCUCCUGCGCCCAAGCCUGGGACAACAUUGGGAUGCCAGGGCUGUCAUAAGAGGCUGCAGAGCUCUGAGCCAAGCCAGGUUGGAAGAUGGCUGAGAAGCUGGUGCCUGGGGACCUGUUCUCGAGGAAGACCCGGGAAUCAGUGUCGUCCCUGGACUCGGACAAGCUGGCACCCAUCUCACCCGAGGUGGGUGGUGAGGAGUCAUCUGACAGCGAAGGCGAGCAGGAGGACAGUUCUCACAAGCUCAUCCGGAAGGUUUCCACCUCGGGGCAGAUGAGAAGCAAGGUCAGGGGUGGGGGAUGCCGUGGGUGAGGGGCUGGCUGGGUGUGCUAUCACUGCUGAGAAGAGGGCAGGGGAGUUUACCUUCUCCAGGAUGCAAAUCAGUGCCAGGUUCUUAAUGCUGGCAGACUCAACCCAGCCAGAGAUGGGAGGGUUCUGGUCCCCUGUGCCCUGUGGGAGGGCACAUAGAAACAUGCGAACCCCACAGUGGCAGUAUCAGCAUUGGUCCCAUGGGGCUGUGAAGCCCAGAUUUUAUCACACUGUUCAAGAACAGGGUCUCUCCCAUACCCAGACAUCCCCUGCAACAUUGCCUUCAUGCUGCAUUUGUAUCCCCUGGGUUCCCCUUACCUGUGCCUGGAAGAAGAGGACUCUUUUUGGAAGGCUCUGCCCCAUGGAUGCUCUGGGGCUGAGAUUUAGGGUCGUGGCAGUUCUGUAGUCUCCUGGGAUCCUACACCCUGCUGUAGGUACUGCAUGUGCAGGGCUUGGUAAGUGGCAAAAUGGAACCUGCAUCUUCCCUAGUGCCCCAGAUUAAUUUGGCUGUGCCAGGUUCCCUGCAGGCCCCGUUCCCACAGAUCCAGUCCCCAGUGGUGGUUUGCUGGACAGAUGGGAACACCUUUGAGGUCAGACAUGACACUCAUACUUCCCAGCCACUGGCAUGAGAGCAGCUGGGGGGUGGAGGGGUGUGUGUGUGUGUGUGUGCAUGCAUCAGUUUGCUCAGAAAAAGCUAUUUUGAUAGUACCUACAAAAUAUGGGGUGUGGUGCCUUUAGCCAAGCUGGAGUGCAUGGUCAGAGGUGUCCCAGGCUGGGACAGUGAAAUGCAGUGCAGGGAGAAAUUACCUGGACAGAAUGGCCAGGUGGGAUGUGGGGAAGGAGGUUUGGGGGGGACAUUUUGGGGAGGGAGGAUGCAAGACACGGUGCUGGGAGGAUGCUCUGGAUAACAUGCUGGGUUAGCAGUCCCUUUGCAUCCACCUUUCAGCUGUGGGAAGGAGGUGGCGGAGUGAGUCAAGGCAGUGCCUGCAGUGUUGGGCGGCACACGGGGGCUGUUAGCAAUCCCCCCGCAGCCAGCUUCUGGUGCCAGCCACCCCUCAGUGGGGAUUUGGUGGCUGUGCUGCUCCAGGGAGAGGGGAGAGAUCUGAAAACACAGCAUGGGAAUGCAGUUUUGGAGCAGGGGAGUGUCACUGGACUUGUGUUGGGUGCUGAGGGCAUGAAGGAAGGGGAAUGAGGCAAUGUACUGGGUCUGGUGGCAGUUGUGAGGAUGCUUGGGGCUGUGGCAGGCUCCCCUCCUGCUGGCCCUGGCUUGGCUGUUGUGCCAAGCCUGGUGUACUGGCAUGAGGUGGGGCAGAGGAUGCCUGCCCAGGGGUAUGGAAAUUGCAUGCUCCCAGCCUAGCACUGUGGGGCUUUCCCACUUGGCAGAAGAGAUUUCUGGGGCAUGGGGUGUUGAGGGGGCUCUUACUGAGUCCCUCUGGCUGCUCAAGGAGCAUGCCUCAAUUCUCCCUUCUUUGACGCCUGCUGGCACCAACUCUGCCCUCUCCAAGGUGGCUGCCAGGUGGGUGUAGAGGGCUAUGCUGGGUGUUGGGGGGAGGCAUGGUGAGAAGCCAGGCCAGUGGGCAGUGGGGAUGUUUAGUUCUGUGUGUGAGCCCUCAGCACCCUUCCAGAAGGGCAGCAGUAGCCACUGGAGUUUGCCAUGCAGCACUUGCCGUGUGUGGGGCACAGGGACAUUACAGGGAGCCAGCAAUGCCACGAAGUCUGAGGGGAAGGGGCAGAUGGCUGGGCUAUGCCUGUGUCCUACAGGCAUAGCAGCACAGGAACACGAGCAUGCUCUGAGCCCCAGCCCAGUUGCCAAAGCCCCCCAUACCCCCAUCAGGUUCUGGCCUCGCUGCUGACAGGCUGCACGUGGGGAAAGCCUGUCUCCCUGCCUGCUGUGGCCACUGCCCACAUCCUGCCUGGCAUCAGCAAUUAGCUGUGCAGGAGGUGAUGCUGUGCAGCGUGCCAGGGGAGGCAGGUGGCGUGAUGGAUGGGCAGGUGGAAAUGACACGUGUGGGUUAACAGCCCGUGGAGCUGAGGAAGAGACUGAGAGCUGGCAGGGCUGGAGGGCCCUGAGAGUGAGCUGUGUAUGCCUCCCUAGCCACCUCUGUGUUUUCAGUGUUGGGGUUCAGUGUUUUUUCUGAGGAUGCCAUUGCCCUGGUCCAGAUGGGCAGGACCACACUUGCUGGCCUGGCUCGUGGCUGGAUGGACUUCUUCCUUCCCUAGGAAGUGAGGAUUUUUGGAUGAGGUUACUGCUGCCACCCAGGUUGGGCUCACAACCCUGACAUGGUGCAUGUGCUGCCUGUCACUCCAGCCACAGCCACAGAGUGUGUGCCAUGGCAGGCAUCCUCCUGAGCAACACCACCUUGUCACCCAGGUGGGGCUGGGGUCAGGGGAGGGAAUCAUUGCCUGCACCCCAGGGGCAGGUAUCUAAAGAACACAAUUAAUAAAGGAGAGUUCAGUGCCA
rnacentral:lncRNA from 1 species